rnacentral:rRNA from 2 species
GGGUUGUGAGGUUAAGCGACUAAGCGUACACGGUGGAUGCCCUGGCAGUCAGAGGCGAUGAAGGGCGUGCUAAUCUGCGAUAAGCGCCGGUAAGGUGAUAUGAACCGUUAUAACCGGCGAUACCCGAAUGGGGAAACCCAGUGUGAUUCGUCACACUAUCAUUAACUGAAUCCAUAGGUUAAUGAGGCGAACCGGGGGAACUGAAACAUCUAAGUACCCCGAGGAAAAGAAAUCAACCGAGAUUCCCCCAGUAGCGGCGAGCGAACGGGGAGGAGCCCAGAGCCUGAAUCAGCAUGUGUGUUAGUGGAAGCGUCUGGAAAGGCGCGCGAUACAGGGUGACAGCCCCGUACACAAAAGCGCAUGUGCUGUGAGCUCGAUGAGUAGGGCGGGACACGUGGUAUCCUGUCUGAAUAUGGGGGGACCAUCCUCCAAGGCUAAAUACUCCUGACUGACCGAUAGUGAACCAGUACCGUGAGGGAAAGGCGAAAAGAACCCCGGCGAGGGGAGUGAAAAAGAACCUGAAACCGUGUACGUACAAGCAGUGGGAGCACCCUUUGGGUGUGACUGCGUACCUUUUGUAUAAUGGGUCAGCGACUUAUAUUCUGUAGCAAGGUUAACCGAAUAGGGGAGCCGGAGGGAAACCGAGUCUUAACCGGGCGUUAAGUUGCAGGGUAUAGACCCGAAACCCGGUGAUCUAGCCAUGGGCAGGUUGAAGGUUGGGUAACACUAACUGGAGGACCGAACCGACUAAUGUUGAAAAAUUAGCGGAUGACCUGUGGCUGGGGGUGAAAGGCCAAUCAAACCGGGAGAUAGCUGGUUCUCCCCGAAAGCUAUUUAGGUAGCGCCUCGUGAAUUCAUCUCCGGGGGUAGAGCACUGUUUCGGCUAGGGGGCCAUCCCGGCUUACCAACCCGAUGCAAACUGCGAAUACCGGAGAAUGUUAUCACGGGAGACACACGGCGGGUGCUAACGUCCGUCGUGAAGAGGGAAACAACCCAGACCGCCAGCUAAGGUCCCAAAGUCAUGGUUAAGUGGGAAACGAUGUGGGAAGGCCCAGACAGCCAGGAUGUUGGCUUAGAAGCAGCCAUCAUUUAAAGAAAGCGUAAUAGCUCACUGGUCGAGUCGGCCUGCGCGGAAGAUGUAACGGGGCUAAACCAUGCACCGAAGCUGCGGCAGCGACGCUUAUGCGUUGUUGGGUAGGGGAGCGUUCUGUAAGCCUGCGAAGGUGGCCUGUGAGGGUUGCUGGAGGUAUCAGAAGUGCGAAUGCUGACAUAAGUAACGAUAAAGCGGGUGAAAAGCCCGCUCGCCGGAAGACCAAGGGUUCCUGUCCAACGUUAAUCGGGGCAGGGUGAGUCGACCCCUAAGGCGAGGCCGAAAGGCGUAGUCGAUGGGAAACGGGUUAAUAUUCCCGUACUUGGUGUUACUGCGAAGGGGGGACGGAGAAGGCUAUGUUGGCCGGGCGACGGUUGUCCCGGUUUAAGCGUGUAGGUGUGUGUUCCAGGUAAAUCCGGUUCACUUUAACACUGAGGCGUGACGACGAGGCACUACGGUGCUGAAGCAACAAAUGCCCUGCUUCCAGGAAAAGCCUCUAAGCAUCAGGUAACAUCAAAUCGUACCCCAAACCGACACAGGUGGUCAGGUAGAGAAUACCAAGGCGCUUGAGAGAACUCGGGUGAAGGAACUAGGCAAAAUGGUGCCGUAACUUCGGGAGAAGGCACGCUGACACGUAGGUGAAGUGAUUUACUCAUGGAGCUGAAGUCAGUCGAAGAUACCAGCUGGCUGCAACUGUUUAUUAAAAACACAGCACUGUGCAAACACGAAAGUGGACGUAUACGGUGUGACGCCUGCCCGGUGCCGGAAGGUUAAUUGAUGGGGUCAGCGCAAGCGAAGCUCCUGAUCGAAGCCCCGGUAAACGGCGGCCGUAACUAUAACGGUCCUAAGGUAGCGAAAUUCCUUGUCGGGUAAGUUCCGACCUGCACGAAUGGCGUAAUGAUGGCCAGGCUGUCUCCACCCGAGACUCAGUGAAAUUGAACUCGCUGUGAAGAUGCAGUGUACCCGCGGCAAGACGGAAAGACCCCGUGAACCUUUACUAUAGCUUGACACUGAACAUUGAGCCUUGAUGUGUAGGAUAGGUGGGAGGCUUUGAAGUGUGGACGCCAGUCUGCAUGGAGCCGACCUUGAAAUACCACCCUUUAAUGUUUGAUGUUCUAACGUGGACCCGUUACCCGGGUUGCGGACAGUGUCUGGUGGGUAGUUUGACUGGGGCGGUCUCCUCCUAAAGAGUAACGGAGGAGCACGAAGGUUGGCUAAUCCUGGUCGGACAUCAGGAGGUUAGUGCAAUGGCAUAAGCCAGCUUGACUGCGAGCGUGACGGCGCGAGCAGGUGCGAAAGCAGGUCAUAGUGAUCCGGUGGUUCUGAAUGGAAGGGCCAUCGCUCAACGGAUAAAAGGUACUCCGGGGAUAACAGGCUGAUACCGCCCAAGAGUUCAUAUCGACGGCGGUGUUUGGCACCUCGAUGUCGGCUCAUCACAUCCUGGGGCUGAAGUAGGUCCCAAGGGUAUGGCUGUUCGCCAUUUAAAGUGGUACGCGAGCUGGGUUUAGAACGUCGUGAGACAGUUCGGUCCCUAUCUGCCGUGGGCGCUGGAGAACUGAGGGGGGCUGCUCCUAGUACGAGAGGACCGGAGUGGACGCAUCACUGGUGUUCGGGUUGUCAUGCCAAUGGCACUGCCCGGUAGCUAAAUGCGGAAGAGAUAAGUGCUGAAAGCAUCUAAGCACGAAACUUGCCCCGAGAUGAGUUCUCCCUGAGACUUAGAGUCUCCUGAAGGAACGUUGAAGACGACGACGUUGAUAGGCCGGGUGUGUAAGCGCAGCGAUGCGUUGAGCUAACCGGUACUAAUGAACCGUGAGGCUUAACCUUACAACGCCGAAG